UAACCUCAUUGUGCGAACGCGGGGAGAGAUCCGUGAGGAAAGUCCGAGCAUCACAGAGCAGGAUAGCUGUUAACGGCAGCCGAGGGCGACCUUAGGGCAAGUGCAACAGAGAUAUACCGCAUUGCGUACCGCAAUGUAAGGGUGGAAAGGCGAGGUAAGAGCUCACCGGAGCGCAGGAGACUGCGCUGCCAUGUAAACCCUAUCCGAUGCAACGUCAAUUGGUACGGAGAGAAAUGCGUCUGCUCGGCGCACUCCGAUAUAGGCGGCUGGAGCUUACAGGCGACUGUAAUACUGAUUUCAGCUUAAAAUAUAGCUUCGUCUAUCUUUUAAAGCGAAAACAGUGUAAGCGUAGAUAAAUGUUCGCACACGACAGAACUCGGCUUACAGAUGAGGUUAUGAU
rnacentral:RNase_P_RNA from 1 species